GACGAACGCUGGCGGCGUGCUUAACACAUGCAAGUCGAACGGAAAGGCCCCCUUGUGGUUGACUCCACUGGCGAACGGGUGAUUAACACCUGAGUAACCUUCCCUUGUGUUUGUCAUAACUUCCCGAAACUGGUGCUACUACCACAUAAGAGCUCCUGCUGCAUGAUGGCGUUUGGAAAAUUUCUUUCGGUGGGGAAGGACUCCCCGCUUAUCCACUUGGUGGUGGGGUAAUGGCUCUCCAAAGCUUUCAACGGUAACCCGGCUGAAAAGGUGACCCGCCCCCUUGGGACUGAAAUACCGCCCAAAAUCCUACCGGAAGCAACAAUGGGGAAUAUUGCACAAUGGGCGGAAGCCUGAUGCCACCACCCCCCGUGCGGGAAGACCGCCUUCCGGUUGUAAACCUCUUUCCCCUGUGACCAAACGUGAUUGACGACAAUGCCUAAAGAAGAACCGGCUAACUACUUGCCACCAGCCGCGGUGAUACUUAGGGUGCGAGCAUUGUCCUCAUUUAUUGCUCGUAAAGGACUCCUAGGAGGUUGAUCGCCUCGGAAGUGAAAUCUUGCCGCUUAUCCCUGAGCGUGCUUUCGAUACUGCUUGACUUAGAGAAGGUAAGGGAGAACGGAAAUCCUGGUGGAACGGUGGGAUGCGCCGAUAUCCGGAGGAACACCAGUGGGAGAGGCGAUUGUUGUGACCUGUCAUGACGCUGAGGAGCGAAAAGCUGGGGAACGAACCGGGUUAAAAUCCCUGGUAGUUCCAGCCGUAAACGGUGGGUACUAGGUGUGGAGUCCAUUCCACGGAGUUCGUGCCGUAGCUAACGCAUUAAGUACCCCGCCUGGGGAGUACGGCCGCAAGGCUAAAACUCAAAGGAAUUGACGGGGCCCCGCACAAGCGGCGGAGCAUGCGGAUUAAUUCGAUGCAACGCGAAGAACCUUACCUGGGUUUGACAUGCAUCAGGAGGUCUGCAGAGAUGGGUAUGCCUCUUUUGGGGUGGGUUCACAGGUGGCACAUGGCUGUUGUCAUCUUGUGUCGAGAGAUGUUGGUUAAUGUCCCACAAAGAGCGCAACCCUUGUUCUCUGUUCCACGCACUAUAUGGUGGGGUCUCAGUGGAGACCGCCGGGGUCCUCUCAGAAGAAGGUGGGGAAGAUGUCAUGUCCUCACGCCCCUUAUGUACAGGGUUUCACGCAUUCCACAAUGGCCGGCACAAAGAGUCGGGACCCUGUGAGGGUGAGGGAAUCUCGGAAAGCCGGUCUCAGUUCGGAUUGGGGUCUGCAACUCGACCUCAUGAAGUCGGAGUCGCUAGUAAUCGCAGAUCAGCAACGCUGCGGUGAAUACGUUCCCGGGCCU
rnacentral:rRNA from 1 species